rnacentral:rRNA from 1 species
GUCUACCGCCAUACCACCCUGAACGUGACUGAUCUUGUCUGAUCUUGGAAGCCAAGCAGGGUUGGGCCUGGUUAGUACUUGGAUAGGAGUUUUUGGUACUAUAACAGUAUUGUAGACU